AUACGGAGGGUGCAAGCGUUGUUCGGAUUCACUGGGUAUAAAGGGUGCGCAGGCGGUCUGAUAAGUCAGAGGUGAAAUAUGUCGGCUCAACCGGCAUACGGCCCCUGAAACUGUCAGACUUGAGUCCGGGAGAGGUAGGUGGAAUUCCAGGUGUAGCGGUGAAAUGCGUAAAUAUCUGGAGGAACACCGGUGGCGAAGGCGGCCUACUGGCUCGAUACUGACGCUCAGGCACGAAAGCAUGGGGAGCGAACGGGAUUAGAAACCCCAGUAGUCC
rnacentral:rRNA from 1 species